CCUACGGGUGGCAGCAGUGAGGAAUAUUGGUCAAUGGGCGAGAGCCUGAACCAGCCAAGUCGCGUGAGGGAGUACUGCCCUAUGGGUUGUAAACCUCUUUUGUCGGGGAGCAAAAGCCGGACGUGUCCGGCUGUGAGAAUACCCGAAGCAUAAGCAUCGGCUAACUCCUUGCCAGCAGCCGCGGUAAUACGGGGGUUGCGAGCGUUAUCCGGAUUUAUUGGGGUUAAAGGGUGCUCAGGCGGAUGUUUAAGUCAGCGGUAAAAUCGUGGGGCAAAACCACAUCCAGCCGGUGAAACUGGGGAGCUAGAGUGUGCGAGGGGUAUGCGGAAUGCGUGGUGUAGCGGUGAAAUGCGUAGAUAUCACGCAGAACACCGAUUGCGAAGGCAGGAUACCGGUGAAGAACUGACGCUCAGGCACGAAAGCGUGGGUAUCGAACAGGAUUAGAUACCCCUGUAGUC
rnacentral:rRNA from 1 species